rnacentral:rRNA from 1 species
AUUGAACGCUGGCGGCAGGCCUAACACAUGCAAGUCGAACGAGUGGCGGACGGGUGAGUAAUGUCUGGGAAACUGCCUGAUGGAGGGGGAUAACUACUGGAAACGGUAGCUAAUACCGCAUACCAUCGGAUGUGCCCAGAUGGGAUUAGCUAGUAGGUGGGGUAAAGGCUCACCUAGGCGACGAUCCCUAGCUGGUCUGAGAGGAUGACCAGCCACACUGGAAAUGGGAAACGGUCCAGACGCCUACGGGAGGCAGCAGUGGGGAAUAUUGCACAAUGGGCGCAAGCCUGAUGCAGCCAUGCCGCGUGUAUGAAGAAGGCCUUCGGGUUGUAAAGUACUUUCAGCGGGGAGGCGUUACUCGCAGAAGAAGCACCGGCUAACUCCGUGCCAGCAGCCGCGGUAAUAC